GCCUUUCCAUGAGUUCGCAGAAGGCAGUUUACUUAAGGGAUUAUGUGGAUGUUGUCAGCGAUAAUGUCAACUUUGUUUUCAUGGUUGGUGCAAUAAUGGCUCAUGACCCAAUCAAUAGCGUCUUUUGAGUUGUACUUGCUGAAGAAAAAAAAAAAAUUAAGCAAUACAUUUUGCAUAGACAUUGCAGAGGGUGAACACCGCAAGCAGUCUUGGCCAGUCUGAUGGUUUCUUUGAUUGCCAUGAUAUUGUUCUAGUUUCUGAUCAUCCGCUGAGUGCUGUGGUUUGCCUGAAAAGGAUAAGUACAGCAUUGGCGAGGAAGUGGAAUAUUUUGUAAAUCAAUUAGGAUGGUGUCUGCAGAACAAGAAACAAUUUUCGUAUUGUGAAUCAAAUUUUGCAUCUUUCUGUGGA